GUAAGAAUAAUGAUCCAUUAGAAGGUAUACAAAUAAAUCAUCUAAUAGAUCAUUUUUCCGACAG